rnacentral:rRNA from 1 species
GAUGAACGCUAGCGGGAGGCCUAACACAUGCAAGCCGAGCGGUAUUGUUUCUUCGGAAAUGAGAGAGCGGCGUACGGGUGCGUAACACGUGUGCAACCUGCCUUAUCUGGGGGAUAGCCUUUCGAAAGGAAGUUUAAUACUCCAUAAUAUAUUGAACGGCAUCGUUUAAUAUUGAAAGCUCCGGCGGAUAGAGAUGGACACGCGCAAGAUUAGCUAGUUGGUGAGGUAACGGCACACCAAGGCGAUGAUCUUUAGGGGGCCUGAGAGGGUGAUCACCCACACUGGUACUGAGACACGGACCAGACUCCUACGGGAGGCAGCAGUGAGGAAUAUUGGUCAAUGGGUGCAAGCCUGAACCAGCCAUCCCGCGUGAAGGACGACUGCCCUAUGGGUUGUAAACUUCUUUUGUAUAGGGAUAAACCUACCCUCGUGAGGGUAGCUGAAGGUACUAUACGAAUAAGCACCGGCUAACUCCGUGCCAGCAGCCGCCGUAA